GAGUCAGCGCGCGGCCUAGAAAGUGGUUAAACCUAAGCUUACCCUAAAAUAUAAACUAAUCUAAUCCCUCUCUUCUUAUGAUUCAUUGCGGCAUUCGCGAGUAGUAGAGCUUGGCCGCUACCAAAUUCAUACGGCCGGCCGGUACCACCGGUACAGUUCGGGAAUCUUCCGAAAUUUAGACAACAGAUUAUUUGAGUUAUUAAUAAGAAAUGAGAAUUUAAAAAAAAACCUUAAUCCUGUGGCGGCUUUCGAUGUAAAGAAUGACCGGAUAUAUGGCCCCGCCAACCAUCUCUAACGAUCUAUGCAGGAAAGUUGUAAAUACAAACGCAGCUCCUCAGGCUAUCGGGCCAUAUAACCAGGGUAUCCUAGUAAACAGAACUCUGUAUGUAUCUGGACAACUGGGCUUAGAUAGAUCUCUAAAUAUUGUUCCUGGAGGGAUUGAAGCAGAAACUAAACAGGCUUUGGACAACAUUGGACAUAUUCUCAAUGCAGCACACAGCAGGAAAGGGGAUGAACUUUUUUUGCAUUGUUAAGAAAGCUUAAGAUUUAAAUUCUAUUGAUUAUCUUUUAAUUCAUAAAUAGCUGGCAGCUUUGAGGGUUCUUCCCGUCCCACUAUCUAGUGAAAAGCGCAGCUUUCUUUUUACUGUUUCUUAUUCCUCCAAAUACUUCCCCCCUGUACAUUUUUAAACACCUAGAGACUUUAGGGUUCGCAGAUUUUUUUUUGUUCUCAUUGGGGGAUUUCCAAAAUCUUU